rnacentral:rRNA from 1 species
AGAGUUUGAUCCUGGCUCAGGAUGAAUGCUGGCGGCGUGCCUAACACAUGCAAGUCGAGCGGUAACAUGAAUAAUUUAUUAUUUGAUGACGAGCGGCGGACGGCUGAGUAACGCGUGGGAACAUGCCCCAAAGUGAGGGAUAAGCUCCAGAAAUGGAGUCUAAUACCGCAUAUGAUCUUCGGAUUAAAGGAUUUAUCCGCUUUGGGAGUGGCCUGCGUACGAUUAGAUAGUUGGUGAGGUAAUGGCUUACCAAGUCUUCGAUCGUUAGCUGGUCUGAGAGGAUGACCAGCCAGACUGGAACUGAGACACGGUCCAGACUCCUACGGGAGGCAGCAGUGAGGAAUCUUCCACAAUGGGCGAAAGCCUGAUGGAGCAACGCCGCGUGCAGGAUGAAGGCCCUCGGGUCGUAAACUGCUUUUAUAAGUGAAGAAUAUGACGGUAACUUAUGAAUAAGCACCGGCUAACUACGUGCCAGCAGCCGCGGUCAUACGUAGGGUGCAAGUAUUAUCCGGAGUGACUGGGCGUAAAGAGUUGCGUAGGUGGACAAGUAAGCGAAUAGUGAAAUCCGACGGCUCAACCGUAUGGACUAUUACUCGAACUGCUUGUCUCGAGAAUGGUAGAGGUAACUGGAAUUUCUAGUGUAGGAGUGAAAUCCGUAGAUAUUAGAAGGAACACCAAUGGCGUAGGCAGGUUACUGGACCAUUUCUGACACUGAGGCACGAAAGCGUGGGGAGCGAACCGGAUUAGAUACCCUGGUAGUCC